GGGUUGUGAGGUUAAGCGACUAAGCGUACACGGUGGAUGCCCUGGCAGUCAGAGGCGAUGAAGGACGUGCUAAUCUGCGAUAAGCGUCGGUAAGGUGAUAUGAACCGUUAUAACCGGCGAUUUCCGAAUGGGGAAACCCAGUGUGAUUCGUCACACUAUCAUUAACUGAAUCCAUAGGUUAAUGAGGCGAACCGGGGGAACUGAAACAUCUAAGUACCCCGAGGAAAAGAAAUCAACCGAGAUUCCCCCAGUAGCGGCGAGCGAACGGGGAGCAGCCCAGAGCCUGAAUCAGUGUGUGUGUUAGUGGAAGCGUCUGGAAAGGCGCGCGAUACAGGGUGACAGCCCCGUACACAAAAAUGCACAUGCUGUGAGCUCGAUGAGUAGGGCGGGACACGUGGUAUCCUGUCUGAAUAUGGGGGGACCAUCCUCCAAGGCUAAAUACUCCUGACUGACCGAUAGUGAACCAGUACCGUGAGGGAAAGGCGAAAAGAACCCCGGCGAGGGGAGUGAAAAAGAACCUGAAACCGUGUACGUACAAGCAGUGGGAGCACGCUUAGGCGUGUGACUGCGUACCUUUUGUAUAAUGGGUCAGCGACUUAUAUUCUGUAGCAAGGUUAACCGAAUAGGGGAGCCGAAGGGAAACCGAGUCUUAACUGGGCGUUAAGUUGCAGGGUAUAGACCCGAAACCCGGUGAUCUAGCCAUGGGCAGGUUGAAGGUUGGGUAACACUAACUGGAGGACCGAACCGACUAAUGUUGAAAAAUUAGCGGAUGACUUGUGGCUGGGGGUGAAAGGCCAAUCAAACCGGGAGAUAGCUGGUUCUCCCCGAAAGCUAUUUAGGUAGCGCCUCGUGAAUUCAUCUCCGGGGGUAGAGCACUGUUUCGGCAAGGGGGUCAUCCCGACUUACCAACCCGAUGCAAACUGCGAAUACCGGAGAAUGUUAUCACGGGAGACACACGGCGGGUGCUAACGUCCGUCGUGAAGAGGGAAACAACCCAGACCGCCAGCUAAGGUCCCAAAGUCAUGGUUAAGUGGGAAACGAUGUGGGAAGGCCCAGACAGCCAGGAUGUUGGCUUAGAAGCAGCCAUCAUUUAAAGAAAGCGUAAUAGCUCACUGGUCGAGUCGGCCUGCGCGGAAGAUGUAACGGGGCUAAACCAUGCACCGAAGCUGCGGCAGCGACGCUUAUGCGUUGUUGGGUAGGGGAGCGUUCUGUAAGCCUGUGAAGGUGUACUGUGAGGUAUGCUGGAGGUAUCAGAAGUGCGAAUGCUGACAUAAGUAACGAUAAAGCGGGUGAAAAGCCCGCUCGCCGGAAGACCAAGGGUUCCUGUCCAACGUUAAUCGGGGCAGGGUGAGUCGACCCCUAAGGCGAGGCCGAAAGGCGUAGUCGAUGGGAAACAGGUUAAUAUUCCUGUACUUGGUGUUACUGCGAAGGGGGGACGGAGAAGGCUAUGUUGGCCGGGCGACGGUUGUCCCGGUUUAAGCGUGUAGGCUGGUUUUCCAGGCAAAUCCGGAAAAUCAAGGCUGAGGCGUGAUGACGAGGCACUACGGUGCUGAAGCAACAAAUGCCCUGCUUCCAGGAAAAGCCUCUAAGCAUCAGGUAACAUCAAAUCGUACCCCAAACCGACACAGGUGGUCAGGUAGAGAAUACCAAGGCGCUUGAGAGAACUCGGGUGAAGGAACUAGGCAAAAUGGUGCCGUAACUUCGGGAGAAGGCACGCUGAUAUGUAGGUGAAGUCCUUCUCAUGGAGCUGAAAUCAGUCGAAGAUACCAGCUGGCUGCAACUGUUUAUUAAAAACACAGCACUGUGCAAACACGAAAGUGGACGUAUACGGUGUGACGCCUGCCCGGUGCCGGAAGGUUAAUUGAUGGGGUCAGCGCAAGCGAAGCUCUUGAUCGAAGCCCCGGUAAACGGCGGCCGUAACUAUAACGGUCCUAAGGUAGCGAAAUUCCUUGUCGGGUAAGUUCCGACCUGCACGAAUGGCGUAAUGAUGGCCAGGCUGUCUCCACCCGAGACUCAGUGAAAUUGAACUCGCUGUGAAGAUGCAGUGUACCCGCGGCAAGACGGAAAGACCCCGUGAACCUUUACUAUAGCUUGACACUGAACAUUGAGCCUUGAUGUGUAGGAUAGGUGGGAGGCUUUGAAGUGUGGACGCCAGUCUGCAUGGAGCCGACCUUGAAAUACCACCCUUUAAUGUUUGAUGUUCUAACGUGGACCCGUAAUCCGGGUUGCGGACAGUGUCUGGUGGGUAGUUUGACUGGGGCGGUCUCCUCCUAAAGAGUAACGGAGGAGCACGAAGGUUGGCUAAUCCUGGUCGGACAUCAGGAGGUUAGUGCAAUGGCAUAAGCCAGCUUGACUGCGAGCGUGACGGCGCGAGCAGGUGCGAAAGCAGGUCAUAGUGAUCCGGUGGUUCUGAAUGGAAGGGCCAUCGCUCAACGGAUAAAAGGUACUCCGGGGAUAACAGGCUGAUACCGCCCAAGAGUUCAUAUCGACGGCGGUGUUUGGCACCUCGAUGUCGGCUCAUCACAUCCUGGGGCUGAAGUAGGUCCCAAGGGUAUGGCUGUUCGCCAUUUAAAGUGGUACGCGAGCUGGGUUUAGAACGUCGUGAGACAGUUCGGUCCCUAUCUGCCGUGGGCGCUGGAGAAUUGAGGGGGGCUGCUCCUAGUACGAGAGGACCGGAGUGGACGCAUCACUGGUGUUCGGGUUGUCAUGCCAAUGGCACUGCCCGGUAGCUAAAUGCGGAAGAGAUAAGUGCUGAAAGCAUCUAAGCACGAAACUUGCCCCGAGAUGAGUUCUCCCUGAC
rnacentral:rRNA from 1 species